rnacentral:rRNA from 1 species
GGCGGCGUGCUUAACACAUGCAAGUGGAGCGACGAACCGGGCUUCGGCCCGGGGCAAAGCCGCGAACGGGUGAGUAUCACGUGGGUAACCUGCCCCGAUGACCGGGACAACCCGAGGAAACUCGAGCUAAUACCGGAUGUCUUCUCCGCACAUCAGUGCAGAGAGAAAAGGAAGCUUCGGCCUCCGCAUUGGGAUGGGCCCGCGGCCCAUUAGCUUGUUGGUGAGGUAAAAGCUCACCAAGGCGACGAUGGGUAGCUGGUCUGAGAGGACGAUCAGCCACACUGGGACUGAGACACGGCCCAGACUCCUACGGGAGGCAGCAGUGGGGAAUCUUGCGCAAUGCGCGAAAGCGUGACGCAGCAACGCCGCGUGAGGGAAGAAGGCCUUCGGGUUGUAAACCUCUUUCAGGAGGGACGAAGGUUCAGGCGCGAAUAGCGUCCUGGACUGACGGUACCUCCAGAAGAAGCCCCGGCUAACUACGUGCCAGCAGCCGCGGUAAUACGUAGGGGGCUAGCGUUGUCCGGAAUCAUUGGGCGUAA